ACGAACGCUGGCGGCGUGCCUAAUACAUGCAAGUCGAACGCUUCUUUUUCCACCGGAGCUUGCUCCACCGGAAAAAGAGGAGUGGCGAACGGGUGAGUAACACGUGGGUAACCUGCCCAUCAGAAGGGGAUAACACUUGGAAACAGGUGCUAAUACCGUAUAACAAUCGAAACCGCAUGGUUUUGAUUUGAAAGGCGCUUUCGGGUGUCGCUGAUGGAUGGACCCGCGGUGCAUUAGCUAGUUGGUGAGGUAACGGCUCACCAAGGCGACGAUGCAUAGCCGACCUGAGAGGGUGAUCGGCCACAUUGGGACUGAGACACGGCCCAAACUCCUACGGGAGGCAGCAGUAGGGAAUCUUCGGCAAUGGACGAAAGUCUGACCGAGCAACGCCGCGUGAGUGAAGAAGGUUUUCGGAUCGUAAAACUCUGUUGUUAGAGAAGAACAAGGAUGAGAGUAACUGUUCAUCCCUUGACGGUAUCUAACCAGAAAGCCACGGCUAACUACGUGCCAGCAGCCGCGGUAAUACGUAGGUGGCAAGCGUUGUCCGGAUUUAUUGGGCGUAAAGCGAGCGCAGGCGGUUUCUUAAGUCUGAUGUGAAAGCCCCCGGCUCAACCGGGGAGGGUCAUUGGAAACUGGGAGACUUGAGUGCAGAAGAGGAGAGUGGAAUUCCAUGUGUAGCGGUGAAAUGCGUAGAUAUAUGGAGGAACACCAGUGGCGAAGGCGGCUCUCUGGUCUGUAACUGACGCUGAGGCUCGAAAGCGUGGGGAGCAAACAGGAUUAGAUACCCUGGUAGUCCACGCCGUAAACGAUGAGUGCUAAGUGUUGGAGGGUUUCCGCCCUUCAGUGCUGCAGCUAACGCAUUAAGCACUCCGCCUGGGGAGUACGACCGCAAGGUUGAAACUCAAAGGAAUUGACGGGGGCCCGCACAAGCGGUGGAGCAUGUGGUUUAAUUCGAAGCAACGCGAAGAACCUUACCAGGUCUUGACAUCCUUUGACCACUCUAGAGAUAGAGCUUCCCCUUCGGGGGCAAAGUGACAGGUGGUGCAUGGUUGUCGUCAGCUCGUGUCGUGAGAUGUUGGGUUAAGUCCCGCAACGAGCGCAACCCUUAUGGUCAGUUACUACGCAAGAGGACUCUGGCCAGACUGCCGUUGACAAAACGGAGGAAGGUGGGGAUGACGUCAAAUCAUCAUGCCCCUUAUGACCUGGGCUACACACGUGCUACAAUGGGAAGUACAACGAGUCGCAAAGUCGCGAGGCUAAGCUAAUCUCUUAAAGCUUCUCUCAGUUCGGAUUGUAGGCUGCAACUCGCCUACAUGAAGCCGGAAUCGCUAGUAAUCGCGGAUCAGCACGCCGCGGUGAAUACGUUCCCGGGCCUUGUACACACCGCCCGUCACACCACGAGAGUUUGUAACACCCGAAGUCGGUGAGGUAACCUUUUGGAGCCAGCCGCCUAAGGUGGGAUAGAUGAUUGGGGUG
rnacentral:rRNA from 1 species